rnacentral:rRNA from 1 species
UGGGGAAUUUUCCGCAAUGGGCGAAAGCCUGACGGAGCAAUGCCGCGUGGAGGUGGAAGGCCUACGGGUCGUCAACUCCUUUUCUCGGAGAAGAAACAAUGACGGUAUCUGAGGAAUAAGCAUCGGCUAACUCUGUGCCAG